UUUGAACAUGUCAUGUCUGUCCAACCUCUAGACUGUAAGCUUAGAAGAGUGACUCUAUGUUGUGGUUUGAACAUGUAAUGUCUGCCAUGGGAAUAUGUUGGUCCCCAGCUACUGGUGCUAUUUUGAUUCUAUGUCCUUGAUACUGUGGGCCAAGCCCCAGUGAAAAGUAUCUGUUAUAAGGAAAAGUUGCUAGAUCCAGUGAAGAAAUUAGGCAAUGUCUCCUGACUUUUACAAAACAGGAAUAAGACCUAGAACUACUGUCCACCUGGAAGAUUGUCACAGACCUCUACCUUCACAUUAACAACAGGUUUUUAUCCUAAGUGCAAUCUGGAGUUCUUUUUGUUAAGGUUCAUCUGUCCAGACUGAGUCCUGCUAUAGCAUGAAGACAAUAAACACUGGCUGGAAAGAGGACACUCCAAAAGGAAGGCUAUGCCUGGAGCACCAGAGAUAUGCUUCUCUGACGCAGUUCUUAGAGCCUGAAGCAGCUAUGUCGUCAUCGCGCUUUGCAGACUUUGGUCUAAGACAGCCCAGCUCUUGACACAGCUGCCUCGAAGGAGAGGCAGGAAAGAAAUCCAUCAGCUACAUCUUCUCCUGCGGAAAAAAGGAUUAUCAAACUUCUCUUGAGGUGAUGCUCUGAGGCAUUAAUCUACCUCCUGACCGACAUCCUUUAUCUCUAUUUGAGUAUGGAGAUAGGUAAAGGGAAGUUGGGUCCAAAUGAAAACAAGUAUUGGCGAGAGCAUCUUUACCACCUCUGCAGUCGAAUGAAUGGGUCACUGCCAGCCAUCCUUGUUGAGGAGAUAUUUGGCAAGAAGCCAUUUGCAAAAAUAUCAUCUGUGACUUUCCUUUUGCUGGAGAUUUCAUUGAUUUGGAAAUUAUAAAUCACAGGAGCCGAUGAAAUAACUUUGAUCUUCCUAGUCUGUUCGUUCAUUGUGGCAUCAGGUCAUACCUGCACAGGCUUGAAGAUACACCGGCAGAUGGCAGAACAUAUGCCCUGAUUAAGAUUUAUGUAUUCAGUUCCGAUGAAUCUACAUAGGGUUUCCUAGAAAAGGAGAAGACGUACUGUAAGCAUGGAUGAGUGAAUGUCUGCUCAACUGUUUUCCUGCUGAAGAGAUCUGAAAAAUCACAGAACUUUGAGACAGUGUUGACAGGUCCCUGUUUUAUUUUUAUAAAAAAAAUCAAAU